GUCUAUUUGCAUUAUUAACUGAAAAUCCUGUGCUGAUGCUAAUUUUGAUCUUUUAUUCCACUAGCUUGUAUUGGAGCACUCAGACUUGAAGAAGAAUAUAGCAUGCAGAUGGUGAAGGAUGGAAAGCCAACCUGGAGGCACAAAUUUCAGCAGAUGCUCUGCUUCCAGGUAGUGGAAGUGACUUAUUUUCUUUUUGUGGUUCUGGGUAUUGAAGCCAGGACCUCACCCAUGCUAGGCAAAUGCUCUAACACUGAGCUACAUCCCAGACCUAGUAUAAAUGAUUUUUUUCUUUUCAGUACUAGGGAAGGGGAGAGAGCCAAGGUCCUCUACCACUGAGCUAUGUCCCCAGCCCUUUUUAGUUUUAUUUAUUUUUUCUAUUUUGAGACAGGGUCCUGCUAAAUUGCAGGCUGGACUCAAACUUGUGAUUCUCCUGCUUGGCCUCUCAACUAGCUGGGAUUACAGGCAUGCAUCACUAUACCCAGCCUUCAAAAAUGACUUUUUAACAGUGCUAAUAUCUUCAAUCCAAAAGCAACACCAUCUCCAUCCAAAGGGAAUCUUUAAAUCUCAAGAUGGAUCACCUUCACCAUGAUUAGACUGCAGAUAGAAUAAGGCCUCAUGAAGAUAUUUUUGGUGGCUUUAAAUUGUUGGGAACAGAUACAUAGAGAAGAAACUGCAACUAUGCUCUUUUUUUUUCCUGGUUCCUCAGUCUCCUGAUAUAGUUAACAUUUCACAACUAAAAUAACCUUAAUGAACACUUGAUUAUACUUUUUUUGAAGAUACAUUUCAUGACCUCAGACUGCAGAAACUGCCAUCUCCUAGGCACAGUUUACAUUUGAUCCUUUGCUUAUGUCCCGAGAGCAUCGCAUAUUGGGAGACAUUGCUUUUAUAAAGGCAGUGGCUGCUGGGCCUGGUGAUGCACACCUAUAAUCCCAGCACAUAACAUCAGUGGCCAGCUUGCCUCAGUGUUAAUAAGGACCAGCAUGCAGGUUCAGUUUUGCUCUUCACUUUGGUCCUGAAUUGAGAGCUGAGUCAAGAGAAGUCAGCAGGUCUGCUCAAAAAUGUACGGGUCUUGGGGCCAGAGAUGUAGCUCAGUAGUUCCACUACCUGCCUCACAAGCACAAGGUCCUGAGUUCGAUCCCUGGUACAAAAAAAAUGUAUGAGUCUUUUUUUUUCCCCAAAAGACAGAUUAUUAUUGAGCCCACUUCGGUCAAGGAGCACUGAAUAUUGUGUUAAAAUAGUACUUUACUUCAUGCUUGAAAUUAACAUUUUAAAGAAUCAUGUAAAUAGUUUAAAGGUAGCUGGAUUUAUUGUAGCCAAAUGAGAAAUACAGCUGUUAAUGAGAGGGCAUAACUUUGUGUAGUUCUUAAUUAUUUACAUCAUUAGAGAAACACAAAUAUGACUAGUUCAGAGCAAUUUAACUUUGCAGUGAGAGUUUCUGCGUACCUUUAUAUGUGGGGAUAGCUGAGAUCCUUGGAAUUUACUUUGAGUGAAUGAUGGAAAUACCCGAGAAAACGUAGUGCUAGGACCUCUACUUUUUCUCAGGUCCAGUCACCAACUUCCUACAAACCAGGCAUGAAGAAAAACAAAAAAUAAAUUCUCCAGAAAAUAGGAUGCUUCUCUUCACCCAGGCACAGGUAUAAAGGGUACAUUUCUCAGGGCUCCCUUCUUUACUUUGAGUCUCUUAAGAGGUAUUUGAGAUGUCAGUAAGCUAAAAUUAAAUGUAUUAAUAUGGGAAGAUUGAAAUAUCAACAGAAAUGUUUGAUAGUAUAGGUGUUAUCAUUUACCUUGAAGGUAAAAUUUAUGCUGGAAAACAAGUCUGAAGGAUGAUCACUUUCAAAAUACAAACCUGGAAACUUCACCAUCAUUGGCUACUGUAACAACAAAAUUGCACAAACUAGGAUAUGUUAGAGCAAAAGUCUACCCAAGUCUGGUUUUUAACAGCUCUAAUCCAGGGUGCUUCUCAACUCUGUAACAAACAGUAUUUUAUUUUUGCCUUAUUUCCAGAUGCCAGCUUUAACACAUAUGCUCUACCCUAUUUUGAGCAGUGUAUUUUUGCUUUGAAAGGAAACUUGAAUGUGCAUUUUGUCUUCCUUUGAAUUACUUUUUGGGGCGGUCGUACUGGGGAUCUAACUCAGGACCUUGGCAGGUGGCGGAAGCACUGAGCUAAAUCCCCAGCCCUUGAAUGUUACUUUUAAUUGAACAGUAAGAAACUGAGCUCAGCAUUGACAGUCAGACUCUUAACUAAAUUUUCAACUUUUUCUGAGGUCAUCCUAAAUGAUUCCUUUUGUUUUUUUGUACCUGAGAUCGAACUCAGGACCUGUGCUUGCAAGGCAGGCAACGGCACCACUGAGCUAAAUCCUCAACUCCUUUCUUUUCUUUUUUAAAUUUAAUUUUGCUUUGUUUUUCUUUAUAAAGUGAAGAGUAUAUAACACGAGUCCCUUUUGCCCUGUACUAGUACAGUCUGGCAUCAGGAGCAGUAGUUGUUGCUCUUCUGAUUUUCAUUAAUGAAGUUUUAUGGGUUGGAAGAUCUAUUUUAUCCAGUGUUGAUUCUUUAAUUGGGCACUAUAAGUAAAUUCACUUGCUAUCCUGCUUAGUAUUUUAUAUUGAUAUUUUAUAUUUUAUAUUCCUUCUACUUCAGGAAUGGUAACCUAGGAAUAGCAACUGUGGAGUUGAAGGAUACUUUGAUCAUACUUUAAAUAACAGACAUUUUGAGGGUUUUUGGCUUUUAUAAAAACAAAACUCAGGAUCAUGUUCAUAGUUUUUUCAUUGCUUGUUGUUAGUGUUUAUUUAUUUAUUUAUUUUUGGUACUGGGGAUUGAACUCCGGUCCUUGUGCUUUUGAGGGAGGCGGUGGAACCACUGAGCUAAAUCUCCGGCCCUACUGUGUUUAUUAUUAAUGGAUUAAUAUCCUGCCCUUGUUCUUAAAGUAAUUUUAUAUGCUAAACUUUUGUUUUGUUUUCUAGCUUCUAAGAUAGAUAACAGUUAUUGCAAAGUACAUGUUUUUAAAUGAUCUCCAGUGUGGAUUGCUUCUGAGCCACUGAUGGAAUGAGUACUCCCGGAAGGAAUGUAUCAUUUGGAAUCCAGAAUCAUUCAUCAAGGAUAACUGCCUGAUCCUAUGAUUUCGUGACUGACGCUGAAAUGGAAGCCAACUGAUGCUGAAAUUUGGGGGAAAAUUACAUCUGAAGAAUGCAAGAGAAAGUAGGAAUUCAUUUCUAGCAUUCCCAAACCUGCCUUGUAUUGUCUACUGUACUAUAGUCAGAGGACAACAACUGAGUUCAUGGAAUUUGCCAGCUAAGCCUUACAACUGUCUUAAAUGUUCUUAGGAAAUACACUGAAAAGGUAAGUGAAUUGUCCAUUUAGAAGAAAGACUAAUAGGUAUUUUUAAGUCAGUUGUUAUAUUUUAAUAAAGACAGGGAGCUCCUUUAUUCCAAACUUCAAAGUCGUGCCCCUACUGGGUGACUUCAGUACUGUGGCAAACGUGGAGUUGUUCAACCAGCCUGGAGCUUUUCCUCUACUCAGCUACUAAGCCAGAACAUGCGUUGAAGUGCAUAGCAUGCUAAUUUCUGUUGUCUUGUUGUGCUCAAAUCCUUUUUUUUAAAAAAUUACUUUGUUUCAGAUGAGAUUUAGUUUUAUCACUCAGUAUAUAGAAAAGAGUGUUUAAUGUUUCAAAGAUUCAGCAUUACAUUUGCAUUAGAUAGAAUCAAGAAUAAAUUAAGGGUUUUAAAUGAUUUCUGUUAAUACCUACUUAUAUUAGUUUUGUGGAUUAUUAAAAAAUAUUAUUACAUUUAUUAUGUUCCUGUGUGAUAGGUAUUGUGCCAGGCCCUGGAAGAGGGACUAGCAUGCACAGUUUAUGUCCUUUGUUCAUACAAUACAGAUAGCAUUCUGGUUUAGAGAAUCAAGAUAUGAUAUAAAAAGGCUAAUUCCAUUUUCUCAUCAAUAAUUUACUCUGAUAACUACUAUGUUAACUUAGCAUAAUAAAUUCUUUAUGAAAGUGUCUUCGCUUGUGUGUUUAACAUUUAUUAAAUACUUUGUGCCAGGUAUUGUGUUAAACUCUUUACAUAUAUUUCUUUACUCAUAUCUCUUCUUUGAGGUAGGUACUAUUACUAAAACUCAUUUUCUAAGAAAAGUAGAGAAGCUAACUAACUUAACUUGUGCUGAGUUUGCUCUACCUAUGAUCUGGGACCAAUAUUUGGACCCAGGUAAGCUAAUUCCAGAAUCUACACUCUUUCUUUGGGUAUGAUGUUGAUAUGCAGUACCUGGCUAUGAGUAUCCAUAAACCAUUCCAAACUCUUAAUAGAAAUUUUCCCUAAAUUCUUCUCUAGCUCCAAGACAGUUUGCAUGCUGACCUUUCCUCUUACCCCAGGCCCCAAGUGUAAAGGACUGGAACAGAAGAGCAGAGCUUGGCAGUUACAUUUUAUAUUUAGGAUCUUGUCUCUCAGAUCCACCCCUUUUAUUUUUGGAAUGUGAGCAUUUUCUUUAGCUGCUAAAUCAUGAGAAAAUACAGCUGCUGAGAUUUUUCCUAGGAUUAAAAAAAAGAUUAGGCAUUGUUGAAGUGAAGAAAAAUUGCUCUGAGAACCACAGGUAGGUAAUUUGCCCCCUGUUGUAUGGAAAGCCCCUGCACCUCUGUCCAUUGUUUUAUACUUCUG
rnacentral:lncRNA from 1 species